UUAUUUAGUUCUAACUUUUUAGUAUUGAAUAAAAACUUUUAGAACCAUAUUUAAGAGUUUCUUCUGUUUUUCUUUUUCCUUGAUCAUAACUUUAUCUUGCAACUGCAAUACAGUAAACUUUUUUGUUUUUAAAAUAUCUUUUAUUUGUUCACAAGAAGGAUUUGCCAAGCUCAUUUGUAGCAGUGUAAUGAACCCCAGCUGCAGAGAGUUCUACUCUGCUAAACCUGGAGAGUGCAGGUGGCCUUUUGAAGAGCAAAUGUGGGGAAUUCUACCCUCUUCAUGAGGCUGGAGCAUUUGCUGCCAGCAGCUAGUUGGCUACCAGCACUAACUUCUGAAACUGGAAACAAAUACACUCGCCCCUUUCAAGGGCUUCAGAGGGACUAAGCUGUGCAAGGGAAGAAUCAUGAAUGGUUCAUGGGUGUGAGGAGAUGAUAAGAAUGUGAGCCAGGCUUUGUCUGUAGCUAUUUAAGGAGAUAAAACAUGGAAUCUUCAGUAUCUUAGCAUAAGGCUGCACUAGCAUUAACUCAGACAGAUGAUGAAACUUUCUCCUUCCCUAUCCCACCAUUUUCUUGUUUUCCAGAGGGUAACUGUCUGAAUGGCUGCAAGAGACCGCAGCUGAGAGUCAUAACUUGUAAUUGUGGAAGAUAUAAUCAGCUUGAGCUUGGUUAGGAUUGCGCUAGGAAAUUGGAGGAGAGGAUAGCUGAGCAUUCCCUUCACUAACUUAAACAACAAAUGAGUGAAUUUGUUUUUCCAAAAUCACUUGAAGAAGAGGAGUUCUAAAUUGAAGUUGGAAGACAGAAAUAUCCAGCUUUCAUCCAGAGUAUCCUGCAAGCAGAAAUGAAGCAACAAGCACAGCAGCCUUAAGAAUGAGCUCAAACAAGCACAGCAGCCUUAAGAAUGAGCUCAAACAUAUUCUUCUACCAAGGAAUCAAGAGGGAGACUGAGCAGCACAUUAGAAGAUGAUUCUUACAAAAUUGGAAGCUUUCCAUGCAUUUUCUACCAGUGAAAAAUAUCUUCAGUAGCAGCUUGUACUGGAAAGGCUGCUCAGCAGUUUGGUGGGAUGCUGUCAACCCUCAAGUUCCAUUGCAAACAAGGAUUUUGGAGAGGGGACCUCCUUACUUUCAAGGAUUUUUAUAAUCUUUGAAACAAGGACAGCUGCAACUUCUUUUGAA
ensembl:lncRNA